GACAGUUGCAAAGAAUUCCCGAUGGGAUCCAAGGCGGCGCGUCUUGGAGAUGCCUUGUAACCGAAAUUAAAGGGGGAAACAAUUAAG
rnacentral:sRNA from 2 species